rnacentral:lncRNA from 1 species
CUAAUUUCUACCUGCCUCAGUCUCCCCUAAAUUUUAAUCUUUACUACAUUGUACUUUACCUUCCUCAGAAUAGCUCUUAUUUUCCAAAGGGAACAACUACCAACUCACAUUUCAAUUGAAAAACUUAACAGUAGUAUGUUGAUGGACUUUCCUUUUCAAUUGGAUGGCACUUCCCUGGGGUCAUGCAGUAUGUAAGGGAGGAAUUAAUCCAAAGCACUGGAGAAGUGCAAAGAAGAGAGAAAAAACAACAACAACAAAAAGCAGAACCUCAGGAUUCCAGUCAGAGAGCAAAGAGGGGAUGGGUGAGCUCCAGCUGUCACUCAGGCACUUCUUCAGCUGAGAGCAGGAGGAAGGAGGCAAACCUCUCAAGAUGGGAAGAAGCUGGAUUUCUCUUAGGGGGUCCACAGCUUUCCCUGGACACACGUCUUCUUCAUUCUCAACAACAGCACAGAGUCAUCUGUCCCAGUAAGAAUACCUGGACCACUUGACUUCUGAAGUCUCUUCUAGCUCUCCAUCUAUAUGAUUUCAUGAUUCAUCAUGCAGGACAGCAGGACAAUCUCUACCUCCAAUUUGCAGUGUCUUUCUAGUUUUCUAUGGAUCCAGAUGAAAUAUGCUCAUUCUGGUGAUGAGGUCAAGCUCCAUUGCCUGGCGUUACUUCUUUCCCUGGCUAUAUCCUCAUUUCCCUGUGGGCAUCAGAUUCUGCCAACUAAAAUCCAUGUUCUCCACUCUAAUCCACUAAGCUAGGUGGUAAAGUGAACAGAGCACCAGAUCUAGAAUUAGAGAGACUUCUCUUCUUGAGUUCAAAUCUGACUUCAGAUACUUACUAGUUGUGUGACCCUGGUCAAAACACCUCAUCCUGUUUGCCUCAGUUUCCUCAUCUGUAAAAUGAGCUGGAAAAGGAAAUUGCAAACCACUCCAGUAAACCAAGAAAACCUGAAUGGGGUCAGGAAGAGUCAGAUAUAAUAGAAAGUAAUUCAACAACAAUGCAUAUAACCAUCAAGUCCAUAUUUGUAAACAGAAAAAAAUCUCUGGGUCUUUGCCUGUUUUCUGUUGGAAGUAUCCUUACUUCAGAUUACCAUGAUCUCUGGUCCUCUGGCCCCUGGUUUUGCCAAAUGGAGCAGUUCUGUCCCCAGCUGCAGUUCUUACCACGUUUUCAAUAAGCCCUUGCCUUUAGGUCUACUAGGUCAUUGGUGAUCCUUAUCACUGUUGCCUUUUUUCUCCAGCUGUAGAAGAGAAAAUAAUCUAGAGUUAGUCAAAAUUGAAUUUUUCCAAUUAGGUCACUCUUUGCAGCUGAGAUCUCUCCCAAACUUAUUUAAUCUUUUUAGCAACUGAUCAAAAUCUGGUGGUUUCCAUUCAAACUCAAGACAAAUUAGGUGUGCCUUAAUUCUCUGUGGAGUAUCAUACCUCUGCAUACAGACU